CGUGCGCGGGGCCAACGGAUGGGGCUCCAGGGGGCGAGCGCUGGCGGUGGCGGGUACGGCAGGCUCGCGGGCGCCGGGCUUCGUUACAUAAUCUCGGACCGGAGGAGCGGUGGCACAUGGCGGCGGAGCGGCGCUGGUGGUUCGCGUCCUGCGCCGGCAGUCGGGUCCCUUUACGGACGACCGGGGCCGCGACCCUUUCCCACUGUUCUCCCACGCGAUGGACUCGUUGGCGGGCCUUUCCCCGAGGGAAGUGGCCGGCGUGCUGAGCCUGUCCUGUGUUGGCGUGUGUUCCACAUGCGCUUGGGCCUGGCCACAUGGAAGUAUGCGAGACUUAAGAGCUCAAGUGACUAGUGGUCUCCUGCCAUUUCCAGAAGUGACUCUUCAAGCCCUUGGAGAAGACGAAAUAACAUUAGAAUCUGUGCUUCGUGGCAAGUUUGCUGCAGGGAAAAAUGGACUUGCUUGCUUGGCUUGUGGUCCACAACUUGAGGUAGUAAACUCUAUAACAGGAGAGCGAUUGUCUGCUUACAGAUUCAGUGGAGUCAAUGAACAGCCUCCUGUAGUUUUAGCUGUGAAAGAAUUCUCUUGGCAGAAGAGAACUGGAUUAUUAAUAGGAUUGGAAGAAACAGAAGGGAGUGUUCUCUGUCUUUAUGACCUUGGAAUAUCAAAAGUAGUUAAAGCAGUUGUUCUUCCUGGAAGGGUAACAGCUAUUGAACCUAUAAUUAAUCAUGGAGGAGCCAGUGCAAGCACUCAGCAUUUACAUCCAAGUCUGCGAUGGCUUUUUGGAGUGGCAGCUGUGGUCACUGAUGUUGGACAGAUCCUUCUUGUUGACCUAUGUUUGGAUGAUUUGUCAUGCAAUCAAAAUGAAGUUGAAGCAUCAGAUCUUGAAGUUCUAACUGGUAUCCCAGCUGAAGUACCACACAUUAGAGAAAGUGUAAUGAGAGAAGGGCGCCAUCUGUGUUUCCAGUUAGUAAGUCCAACAGGAACAGCUGUUUCAACUCUUAGUUACAUAAGCAGGACAAAUCAGCUUGCUGUAGGUUUUUCUGAUGGCUAUCUAGCACUUUGGAACAUGAAAAGCAUGAAAAGAGAAUAUUACAUACAAUUGGAAAGUGGACAAGUUCCUGUAUAUGCUGUCACUUUUCAAGAACCUGAGAAUGAUCCUCGGAAUUGCUGUUACUUGUGGGCUGUUCAGUCUACACAAGAUAGUGAAGGGGAUGUUUUGAGUUUGCAUCUGCUGCAGCUGGCCUUUGGUAAUAGAAAGUGUUUGGCAUCAGGACAAAUCUUAUAUGAGGGGUUAGAAUACUGUGAAGAAAGAUACACCCUGGACCUGACAGGUGGCAUGUUCCCUUUGAGGGGACAGACGAGUAAUACCAAAUUGUUGGGAUGCCAGAGUAUAGAGAAAUUUCGAUCUCAUGGUGACAGGGAGGAAGGUGUGAAUGAAGCUCUAUCGCCUGACACUAGUGUUUCAGUCUUUACCUGGCAGGUGAAUAUAUAUGGACAGGGAAAGCCUUCUGUAUAUUUGGGGCUUUUUGAUAUAAAUCGUUGGUAUCAUGCACAAAUGCCAGAUUCGUUAAGGUCAGGAGAAUAUCUCCAUAAUUGCUCUUAUUUUGCACUGUGGUCCUUGGAGUCUGUUGUAAGUAGGACUUCUCCACAUGGCAUCUUGGAUAUAUUAGUCCAUGAGCGAAGCUUAAAUAGAGGAGUCCCUCCUUCAUAUCCACCUCCCGAGCAGUUUUUUAAUCCAAGCACUUAUAAUUUUGAUGCCACUUGUUUGUUAAACUCGGGAGUUGUUCAUUUAACUUGUACUGGCUUUCAGAAGGAGACUUUGACUUUUUUAAAGAAAUCAGGUCCAUCACUCAAUGAACUCAUUCCUGAUGGUUAUAAUCGAUGUCUUGUAGCUGGCCUUCUUUCCCCAAGAUUUGUUGAUGUUCAGCCUUCCAGUUUAAGCCAAGAAGAACAGUUAGAAGCUAUAUUGUCAGCAGCAAUUCAGACUAGUUCCCUGGGACUUUUGACUGGUUAUAUCCGAAGAUGGAUAACAGAAGAACAACCAAAUUCUGCCACUAAUUUGCGCUUUGUUCUGGAAUGGACGUGGAAUAAAGUGGUUCUCACAAAAGAGGAAUUUGACAGACUAUGUGUGCCAUUAUUUGAUGGUUCGUGUCAUUUCAUGGAUCCACAAACUAUACAGUCUAUCCAGCAGUGCUAUUUGCUUCUUAGCAAUCUUAAUAUAGUCUUGAGCUGUUUUGCAUCAGAAGCCCGAGAGAUCACUGAGAGAGGACUGAUAGACUUAAGCAAUAAGUUUGUGGUUUCCCACCUCAUCUGUCAGUAUGCACAAGUGGUUCUUUGGUUCUCUCAUUCUGGGCUUUUACCAGAAGGCAUAGAUGAUUCUGUGCAGUUGUCAAGGUUAUGCUACAACUACCCUGUAAUUCAGAACUACUACACCAGUCGUCGACAGAAGUUUGAGCGUUUAUCAAGAGGGAAGUGGAAUCCCGAUUGCUUGAUGAUUGAUGGACUGGUUUCUCAGUUAGGAGAGCGAAUUGAGAAGUUGUGGAAACGAGAUGAAGGAGGCACAGGAAAAUAUCCUCCUGCUAGUCUGCAUGCAGUACUUGAUAUGUACCUAUUAGACGGCGUUACUGAAGCAGCCAAACACUCUAUUACCAUUUAUUUGCUACUUGAUAUUAUGUAUUCCUUUCCCAACAAAACAGACACUCCCAUUGAAUCUUUCCCAACUGUAUUUGCCAUUUCUUGGGGCCAAGUUAAACUUAUUCAGGGGUUUUGGUUGAUAGAUCAUAAUGACUAUGAGAGUGGUUUGGAUCUUUUGUUUCAUCCAGCUACUGCAAAACCUUUGUCAUGGCAACAUUCAAAGAUUAUUCAGGCAUUCAUGAGUCAGGGCGAGCACAGACAAGCCCUCAGAUAUAUUCAGACAAUGAAGCCAACAGUGUCCAGUGGUAGCGAUGUUAUCCUUCACCUCACUGUUUUGCUUUUUAAUAGGUGCAUGGUUGAAGCCUGGAAUUUUUUGCGGCAACAUUGCAAUAGGUUGAAUAUAGAGGAGUUACUGAAGCACAUGUAUGAAGUCUGUCAGGAAAUGGGCUUGAUGGAAGAUUUACUGAAGUUACCAUUUACAGACACUGAGCAGGAAUGUUUAGUGAAAUUUUUGCAGUCCAGUGCCAGCGUUCAGAAUCAUGAAUUCCUUUUAGUGCACCAUUUGCAGCGUGCCAAUUAUGUGCCUGCCUUGAAGCUGAACCAAACUCUGAAGAUUAAUGUUAUGAAUGAUCGUGAUCCUCGUUUGCGGGAGAGAUCACUGGCUCGAAAUUCUAUAUUAGACCAGUAUGGAAAAAUCCUUCCUAGAGUCCAUCGAAAAUUAGCCAUUGAACGAGCUAAGCCUUAUCAUCUGUCAACAUCAUCAGUUUUUCGAUUAGUUUCUAGACCCAAACCAUUAUCAGCAGUUCCAAAGCAAGUUGUAACAGGAACUGUGUUGACAAGAUCUGUUUUCAUCAACAAUGUGUUAUCUAAAAUUGGAGAAGUUUGGGCAAGCAAAGAACCUAUAAAUAGCACCACAUCUUUCAAUAGUUCUAAAAUAGAAGAACCAUCUCCUAUAGUGUAUUCGCUCCCAGCUCCAGAGCUGCCUGAGGCAUUUUUUGGAACACCAAUUUCAAAAGCAUCACAAAAAAUUUCUAGACUGCUAGAUUUGGUUGUUCAGCCUGUCCCCCGGCCUUCUCAGUGUUCGGAGUUUAUUCAGCAAAGCUCCAUGAAAUCUCCUUUGUACCUAGUAUCCGGUUCACUGCCCUCAAGUUCGCAAUUAAAAGGAUCGCCUCAGGCCAUCUCCAGGGCUUCAGAAUUACAUUUGCUUGAAACUCCUCUUGUAGUUAAGAAAGCUAAAAGUUUGGCCAUGUCAGUUACUACUUCUGGAUUUUCUGAGUUCACUCCUCAGUCCAUCCUGAGGUCUACUCUUCGAUCAACACCUUUAGCAUCUCCCUCUCCAUCACCUGGAAGGUCUCCUCAACGACUUAAAGAAACUAGAAUUUCAUUUGUGGAAGAAGAUGUCCACCCAAAAUGGAUUCCUGGGGCUGCAGAUGAUAGCAAAUUAGAAGUAUUUACUACACCUAAAAAAUGUGCAGUUCCAGUGGAAACUGAAUUGCUGAAGAGCAAAGAUAGGACCACAUCUUUUUUCCUGAACAGCCCUGAAAAGGAGCAUCAAGAAAUGGAUGUGGGGUCACAAAGUUUAGAGAAACUGGAUGUGAGCAAAGGAAACAGCAGUGUUUCAAUCACAUCCGAUGAGACUACCUUAGAGUAUCAGGAUGCACCGUCACCGGAAGACCUUGAAGAGACUGUUUUCACGGCCUCUAAGCCCAAAAGCUCUUCCACUGCACUAACUGCUAAUGUAACUGAACAAACUGAAAAGGAUGGAGAUAAAGAUGUAUUUGCAUCAGAAGUAACUCCUUCAGACCUACAGAAACAAAUGGGCAAUUUAGAAGAUGCAGAAACAAAGGAUCUCUUAGUUGCAGCAGAGGCAUUUUCAGAAUUGAAUCACUUAAGCCCGGUUCAAGGAACUGAAGCUUCUCUUUGUGCACCAUCAGUCUAUGAAGGGAAAAUCUUCACCCAGAAGUCACCAGUGUUGGACGAAGGAUUAACAUCUGUUGAAACCUACACCUCUGCAAUUAGAGCAAAUGACAAUAAAUCUAUGGCUGAUGUCCUUGGUGAUGGUGGAAACUCCUCGCUCACUAUCUCUGAAGGUCCUAUUGUCUCUGAGCGCAGGCUUAACCAGGAAGUAGCGCUGAACUUAAAAGAAGAUCAUGAAGUAGAAGUUGGUGUACUAAAAGAAAGUGUUGACUUACCAGAAGAAAAGCUUCCAAUUUCUGACAGCCCUCCUGAUACUCAAGAAAUUCAUGUAAUUGCAAGGACCAUUCCUUCUUCCACCAAACCCUUGCAGGAGAGGUACUGAACUUGAAAGCCUUAGGAAUUUCAUGGUUUAUGCAGCCCCAGCAAAGGGAAGAGGAUUGAGUCUAGCCCAAGGGAGCUUAUGUGAUUGAACAAGAAAAGCUUGAAGCUCAAGAUUCAGGAGAAGAGGCUAGGAAUCUUUCAUUUAAUGAGUUAUAUCCCUCUGGAACACUUAAGCUUCAGUACAAUUUUGAUACUAUUGACCAACAGUUUUGUGACUUAGCUGAUAACAAAGACACUGCUGAAUGUGACAUUGCUGAAGUAGAUGGGGAACUUUUUGUGGCUCAAAGCAACUUUACCUUGAUAUUGGAAGGUGAAGAAGGAGAAGUUGAGCCAGGUGAUUUUGCAUCAUCUGAUGUGUUACCUAAAGCAGCUAACACAGCAACUGAAGAAAAACUUGUAUGCAGUGGGGAAAAUGAUAAUCAUGGACAAGUUGCAAAUUUGCCAUCUGCCGUAACUAGUGACCAAAAGUCCCAAAAAGUAGACACUUUACCAUAUGUGCCUGAACCUAUUAAAGUAGCAAUUGCAGAAAAUUUACUAGAUGUAAUUAAAGACACAAGAAGUAAAGAAAUUACUUCAGAUACAAUGGAACAGUCCAUUCAUGAAACAAUACCUUUAGUGAGCCAAAACAUAAUGUGUCCCACUAAAUUAGUCAAAUCUGCAUUUAAGACUGCUCAGGAAACAAGCACAAUGACUAUGAAUGUCAGCCAGGUUGAUGACGUGGUUUCCUCCAAAACUCGUACGAGAGGUCAACGUAUCCAAAACGUGAAUGUCAAAUCAGCACAACAGGAAGCAUCAGCAGAUGUUGCUACUCCUAAGAUGCCAGGGCAGUCAGUCAGGAAGAAAACUAGGAAGGCAAAAGAAAUUUCUGAAGCUUCUGAAAACAUCUAUUCUGAUGUCAGAGGACUAUCUCAGAACCAGCAAAUACCUCAAACUUCUGGUACGCCUAGGAGAGGAAGGAGAAAGAGAGAAGUUAAUCAGGACGUACUAGAAAACAGCAGUUCUGUGGAACAAGAAUUACAGAUCACUACAGGUAGGGGAUCAAAAAGGUUAAAGUCAUCUCAGCUGUUGGAACCAGCAGUUGAAGAAACUACUAAAAAAGAAGUUAAGGUUUCAUCUGUUACAAAAAGGACUCCUAGAAGAAUUAAAAGAGCUGUAGAAAAUCAGGAAAGUGUUGAAAUUAUAAAUGAUCUAAAAGUUAGUACGGUCACAAGUCCUAGCAGAACGAUCAGAAAAUUGAGAAGUACUAAUUUAGAUGCUUCUGAAAAUACAGGAAAUAAGCAAGAUGAUAAAUCCAGUGACAAGCAGCUGCCUAUUAAACAUAUUAGAAGGGUCAGAGGGAGAGAAGUUAGUCCAUCAGAUGUGAGAGAAGACUCCAACCUUGAGUCAUCUCAGUUGACUGUUCAAGCAGAAUUUGAUAUGUCUGCCAUACCUAGAAAACGUGGUAGACCAAGAAAAAUCAAUCCAUCUGAAGAUGUAGGAUCUAAGGCUGUUAAGGAAGAGAGUAGCCCCAAGAAGAAAGAAGCUCCCAGCAUUAAAAGGAGAUCUACAAGAAAUACCCCAGCUAAAAGUGAAAAUGUUGAUGUUGGAAAACCAGCUUUAGGAAAAUCCAUUUUAGUGCCAAACGAGGAACUUUCGAUGGUGAUGAGCUCUAAGAAAAAACUUACAAAAAAGACUGAAAGUCAAAGCCAAAAACGUUCAUUGCACUCAGUAUCAGAAGAACGCACAGAUGAAAUGACACAUAAAGAAACAAAUGAGCAGGAAGAAAGAUUGCUCGCCACAGCUUCCUUCACUAAAUCAUCCCGCAGCAGCAGGACUCGGUCUAGCAAGGCCAUCUUGUUGCCGGACCUUUCUGAACCGAACAAUGAGCCUUUAUUUUCUCCAGCAUCAGAAGUUCCAAGGAAAGCAAAAGCUAAAAAAAUAGAGGUUCCUGCACAGCUGAAAGAAUUAGUUUCGGAUUUAUCUUCUCAGUUUGUCAUCUCACCUCCUGCUUUAAGGAGCAGACAAAAAAACACAUCCAAUAAGAACAAGCUUGAAGAUGAACUGAAAGAUGAUGCACAAUCAGUAGAAACCGUGGGAAAGCCAAAAGCGAAACGAAUCAGGACGUCAAAAACAAAACAAGCAAGCAAAAACACAGAAAAAGAAAGUGCUUGGUCACCUCCUCCCAUAGAAAUUCGGCUGAUUUCCCCCUUGGCUAGCCCAGCUGACGGAGUCAAGAGCAAACCAAGAAAAACUACAGAAGUGACAGGAACAGGUCUUGGAAGGAACAGAAAGAAACUGUCUUCCUAUCCAAAGCAAAUUUUACGCAGAAAAAUGCUGUAAUUUCUUGGGAAGUUUUUAAUGUACACCUAUUUGUAAAGUCAUCAGAAUAGUGUGGAUUAUUAAAUAUCUAGUUUGGAAGAAAAUAAUUUAUAUAAAUUAUUGUAAAUUUUUAUGUAAACAGAAGGUCUUCAAUAAGUAAAGUAACUCCAUAUGGAGUGAUUGUUUCAGUCCAGGCAAUUUUUCUAUUUUAUAUUAAGACUUCAUACAUUUAUAUAUGUAAAUAUGGCUUAUUAAUGGAAUGUCAAAUAAAAUGUAUACUUCACAGUCGUUUGUGUCUUGGAUUUUUGAAAGGGAGGGGAUAUCUGUUUAAAUAGUUUUAUAUGCUCAUUGGUCUCAUUUUCUCUAUAAUUAAAAUACUAGACCAGUCUUAAAAUGGGGAUGAUUGAAGUAUUGAUAUUUCUUUUUACAGUUACUAUUUUAUAAUUUAUGCACUUUGAUUCUGUGAUUCAGAUUUCUAAUCAUAAAAUGUAUUUUUUUGUUUUUGGCUGUUACUAUGUUAAAAUUGAAUUAUGGGCAUGUAAUUUUGCCAUCUUUGUAGUUUCACAAAUUUUGUGUAAUCUACCUCAAAUGAAUAAUCCAAGUAUUGGUUAACUAUAAUGUUGGCAUCUCUUAUUCGGCAAGCUUAAAGGCUCUUUAAAGUCUUAAUUCGUCAAAGACUAAUCCAGGUUAGAUUGACCGGUUCACUGCUCACUUGCAACCUUAUCAAAGGGUUUGACAAAGGGAAAUGUAAAAUAAAUCUGUUUAUGGCUAUUGAGUGCAUCUUGUAUGUGCCUAAUAUUGAUAGGAUGAGAUGUCUGAACAAAUUUUUAUAAUAUUGCUGUGAAGGAGCUUGCUACUGAACCACAGAAAUCCCUUAAUAUUCAGGUUUUAAAACUGGCAAAUUCUCACAGGACCUCAGGCACAGAUUAUUGAGGUUGGGAGAGAGUGAGUAGAUGUAGAAAAGGAGAAAAACAACACACGCCCUGUUCUCUACAGUACAACUGUGUGCAAUUAAGCAAUGAUGGUACUUGAUGUAGGCUCUAACACUCAUCAAUAAAUAAGUGUUGUAAAAUAAUUUAUAACAGGUAAUCGAUAGUGUGUAAUGAAUGGACUAUUAAUUGAUUAUCUAGAAACGAACUGCUUUCGUGGGCUAAGCUUUUAAUAUUUUAAUGUGAAGCAUAUGCAGUGUGCUUUCUGCAUUUAUUUUUCUACCAAAUAAUACAGAUAAUGAGAAAUUGGUGAAAAUGCCUACGCCAAGUGUUGACAGUGUGAAAGUAGCAGUGCGAGUGCGGCCUUUUAGUCAGGUUAGUGAUGGAUGUUACGCUGCCUUGUUGAAAAUUUCACUGACUUUGAUUUUAUUACUUUUUUAAUGAUAGUUAUCAAACUUGUAUUUAAGCUGCUUGUCAUUUAUGGAAUAUUGAACUUAUUUAAAUGAACUUGUUAAAUGAAUAAAGAGCUAAACAUAA